AAGGAAUAAGGUGAUGGUGUUCGCCUUUAAACGUUGAUCGAAAGACAGCUAAUGACGCCUACUAGAGA
rnacentral:ncRNA from 2 species